AAUUUUCCGCAAUGGGCGAAAGCCUGACGGAGCAAUACCACGUGAGGGAUGACGGCCUGUGGGUUGUAAACCUCUUUUCUCAAGGAAGAAGUUCUGACGGUACUUGAGGAAUAAGCAUCGGCUAACUCUGUGCCAGCAGCCGCGGUAAUACAGAGGAUGCAAGCGUUAUCCGGAAUCACUGGGCAUAAAGCGUCUGUAGGUGGUUUGGUAAGUCUGCUGUUAAAGACUGGGGCUCAACCCCAGAAAAGCAGUGGAAACUGCUAGACUUGAGUGUGGUAGAGGUAGAGGGAAUUCCUAGUGUAGCGGUGAAAUGCGUAGAUAUUAGGAAGAACACCAAUGGCGAAGGCACUCUACUGGGCCAUAACUGACACUGAGAGACGACAGCUAGGGGAGCAAAUGGGAUUAGAUACCCCAGUAGUC
rnacentral:rRNA from 1 species